rnacentral:rRNA from 1 species
GAUGAACGCUGGCGGCGUGCUUAACACAUGCAAGUCGAACGGAAAGGCUCCUGCUUGCAGGGGUACUCGAGUGGCGAACGGGUGAGUAACACGUGGGUGAUCUGCCCUGCACUUCGGGAUAAGCCUGGGAAACUGGGUCUAAUACCGGAUAGGACGAUGGUUUGGAUGCCAUUGUGGAAAGUUUUUUCGGUGUGGGAUGAGCUCGCGGCCUAUCAGCUUGUUGGUGGGGUAAUGGCCUACCAAGGCGUCGACGGGUAGCCGGCCUGAAAGGGUGUACGGCCACAUUGGGACUGAGAUACGGCCCAGACUCCUACGGGAGGCAGCAGUGGGGAAUAUUGCACAAUGGGCGCAAGCCUGAUGCAGCGACGCCGCGUGGGGGAUGACGGCCUUCGGGUUGUAAACUCCUUUCGCUAGGGACGAAGCGCAAGUGACGGUACCUGGAGAAGAAGCACCGGCUAACUACGUG